rnacentral:guide_RNA from 1 species
AACAAAACAAUAGAGAAGCAGAAAACUGUGAUUGAUAAGAUAAAUU